AUGUUCAUACAGCCUUCAGAGAUCCAAUCGGUUUGGAAGCCGCAGCGGGAGCGUACGUCGAAGUUCGGGGCGACUCUGUCGACAAGGGUUUGGUAAACGCGCCAGCAUGACUCGGAGGCGUUGAGGGGCGGCAGGAAGUUUCCGGAGCGUUUGAGGUAUUGUGAAUCCACGAGACGAAGGCCCUUUUUAACUUCCUGACACUGCGAGGGCAGGUCACUCGGAGUCCUGAACUGGGGUAUCAGCAGCUGUAAGAAGUUGAAGUCAAGCGGGCACGAAACGGUGGCGUUUCGUUGUGCCGCGGCCGUUGUUGUGGAGGCCGCCAGGAAAAGAAUGAGAACAAGGCCUCGUAAGAAUGACAUCGGCAUCGACAUCUCGGGGACGGGGAGAGAUACCGGGGGGUGUUGGUAGCAGUACAGAGACAACAAAGACAACAAUAAGGAAAAGCAUGUGCACGUGCUUGUGCUUGGGGAUUGUGGUGCAAUUUGAGUAAACUAGUGUAAUUUGAGUUGGGAGUUUGACUAAUCACUAGUAAAUUCCAUAUGCCGAGCAAUGGGUGAAGGCGGCAGGCAAGGCAACACAGCCAGCCAGUUAUGACAGUUGAUUAACUUAACCUACUGCAAAUUUGAAGCUUCAGAGAAGGUGAGAUAGUUCAAUUCAUUUGAUUUCGUUCAAUAAAAAUAUAAUAAAUAAAAGUUAUUGCUUCCUUACUUACCUAGUUUGUUCAUUUUCAACGCCUUAUUUUUGUCUGUCAAUAGAAAAUUCAAGUCCAUUCAUCGAAUUUGUGUGUGAAAGUUCAAGAAAGGGAUGCAAUAAUAUGUAGGGGAGGAUUGGUUAUUUUUUAUCUUACAGGCGGAAUAGGGUGUUUUUAUAAUGGGCUGCUCUGGAUCUGAAAGGAGACUCUUUUUAAAAAAAAUGAAAGAGACAAAAGAAAGAGACAAAAGAAAAUUGCAAAGACAUGUCAUCAAUUUCUAAGUCUUUACAAGGAGGUCUCCUUCUCCUUCUCCUUCUCCUUCUCGUAUGGCCUUUUAUUUUAUUUUUUAUUUUUUUUGAGUUAGAUAGGAAGUCUCUGUCUUGUCUUAAACUUGAUGUUCUGUAAGAUGUCCCAUUGGUCCGAAUUAUUGCACUAUCUUUUCAUCAGGUACUGUAUUUUAUAUAAAUAUAUUCUCAUGUCACAUAAAAUUCGAUGCAAAGUUUAUUGGGAUUUAAUGACAUCAAUAAAUCAUCAAUAAAUCCUCCUUUGUUUAUCUAUUCUUUUAGACUUUCUUGUACAACCUUAUUUCUCUUUUCCUUAUGGGGAAUGCUAUUCGAACGUCUAUCCAUUUUACCAUUUAAAGUGAAAAGCGCUUGUACAAAAGACAAUAAUACUAGGGAGAUCUUAGUAGUAGUAUUUGAGUUUUAAUCCAAAUUUUAUUAUCAUGUAUCAUUUAUUUAUUAGAUAAUAAAUUUCAUAACUUAUACAUUAUUUGACCACCAUCUGAUAAAUCAAUACUCCUAUAAAAAUAGUUAUGGAUGGAACAAUAACAUUCACAUCACUCAUUUUUCAUGUGUUAUCAUAAAAGCAUGUUGUUUGUUCAUUUUGUAAAAAUACCCUUAACCCAUGUUUGGUUGGAAGAAAUGGUAGGAGCGGAAAGGAAAGAAUGGGAGAGAAAAUGAGUGAAAAUGAGUGAAAAAGAAUGUCAAUUUCAUUUUUAUUGUUUGGAUGGUCAAUGAAUUCAUUUUUCUCCCCUUAUUUUUUCCCCUCUCCUCCUUUCCUCUUCUCUCCUCUCCUUAUAUUGUUCCAAACCAAACAUGCCAUUAGUCUUGAAUAUUUCUCAAAAAUGACACUUGGAAUCACAAUUUAUAUGAAAAUGAACAAAAAAAACUCUCUAAUGUUUCGACAAAGGCAUCCACACAUCAUUUGAUUGUAAAUUCAAUUAGUUUAUAAGGCAACAAUGGUAAUUUAGUACAUUUAUCCUAAAAAUAUUCAUGAUAUACUAAAAAAAAAAAGGUUCUAAUCUUAUUUUGUUUUACAUAAACAUCUCAAAAUUCAUUGUAAGUGAUGUGAUAUUCAUUAGGGAUGAGGAUUUCGAUUUUUUGUUGUUCAAUUUUUACGAUUUUCGGUUUAGGUUACAACCCAUUCGAGUCUAAGAUUUCAACCUAAGCAUGUUGAAAGAUUGUUUCAGUUUGGUCUACUUUGGUUCGGUUUGGUUCGGUUUGGUUCAAUUUGAUACGAGUAUAUAAUUUGGUGUGGUUUUGGUUUGUUAAUUCAGGUCUAAACACAGUUUCGGUUAUAAUAAAAUAGCAAUAUGUGAUUGUAAGAGUGAGGCAAAGAUGGAGAAUAAUUUUUUUUUUUUUUAAAAGGUACCUUAUGCUCGUGAAGAUCACAAUUGUAUUUAGGCCUGUAACAACAACCUGCAGAAAAUAACUUGCUCAGGUCAGUCCUAUUAGAAAAAGUGUCUAAAUUCCGAGAAAUUACUAGAGUCGGUGAGAGAUAGAAACCUGAAGAAUGGCAUAGAUUAUUGUUCCAACGCUGGAAGAAAAUCCUAAGGACAUUACAAGUAUAAGAACCAAAAUAUUAUGGUCGUUCUAAAUUUUUGAGAGAACAUGAAAGCAUAUCCUUGCAGAGAUCUCAUUACCUGCUGACUCAAAAAUAGUGCUGCUGUAAAAACAGAUUCCAUUGAUUCCACCAAAUUGUUGAAACACCAUCAAUCCGACUCCAAUCUUGUCAAAAUGAAUAAAUUGUAGGAGGAGUCAAUGAGAAGAUAAAAUGUAGUUGCAUUAUAGAUGAAGGAGAAAGAGGAAUUUGUACCGUGACUGAGCGCAAGUAUCUUCUUUGAAACAAAUCCAGCAUUCCAGCUUUUGGGAGCCUUUCUAGAGUUUCUAUGUAAUCCUGUUAAGCAACGAAAAAAAUGCUUCAGAUAAAUUUUCUUCUCAAUGGUCCAAUACACAUAGUCAGUGUGGAAUGGCACUUAUAACUCAGAUAUAAGACCUGGAUUUCAGCUGCCUCAUGUGUUAUAUCAGCAUCCUUGCCACGAAGUUUCUGUAGCGCAGCUUCAAACUCUUUUUCCUUUCCUGUCUUUGCCUGUGUCCAUGGCAAGUUCAGUUUCAUGUAUUCAUCUUUUUCUUGGAGUGUCAUUAUCAGGUAUCCUUACCAGCCAUCUAGGAGACUCCGGGAUGAAAAAGAGACCCAAAAACAAAAUUGCACAGGGGAUGAUACCUGCAAUAAUUGUCUGUAAGCCUUCUGUUUCAUUAUCCUUUCGUAGUUCGUUUUCCUUUUUAAGUUUUCUUGGACAGUUGAAUAAAUGGAUGGUUAAUCAUUUUCACCUGUUAGUGCUAAAGCUCUCCAUGUUAGUACCGUCCCAAUUAUGAAGGCAACUGACACACCAGCACAGAUCAUAAGCUAUAUACAAACAUCAGAAACAAUUAGAUAGAUCAUAGAUUGCUUAAUUUUGGGGCAACUAGCUAUUCGAGAGAUAAAUUAAAAUGACAAAUGAGAAUUUCCUCCAAUUAAGAUGUCUGCAUUUUUAGCUUACCUGAUUUGCAGCUGUUAGUGCUCCUCGAAGAUUCUUGGGUGCAAUUUCAGCAAUAAAAACCGGCACCACAUACGAAAAGACUCCCAUUCCAUAUCCUGUUGCCAAUCUUCCAAUAUCCAAUGGCCAAACCCCCUUUUGUUUCAAUCAAAACAGAAAGAAUAUAAUUGGUAAGUUUAUAGGAAAAUUGUUCUCUUUGCUAUGUAGCUGAAAGAAAUAGGGGAACAAAAAAAUAUUAGUAGAGCUUAAGAAUAUAUGAACCUCAGCAAAGUAAAUAGCAAGCCAUCCUGCAACGCAGAAGACACUUGAAACUCUCAUUGCCUGCACAUAUUAAACAAUCUUACAAGCUAAAUAUUCACUAGAACACAAUUAAGCUCAUAUCCUAAACAUGCAGUGAUUAAUCAGCUAAAAAAUAUAUAUCUUCUUACCCCUUUCCGACCAACAUAAUUAGCAAUUGGCCCACUGGUGAUUGCCCCGAUCAUGGCACCAAAUGUUAAUAUGGAGCCAAACACGGAAUACUGCAUGAGUAUAAACCAAAACCAAAAUGAAAAAAUUUCAUAUUUACCAACUGAAUGGAAUUAGUCUCUGCAGGAAUCAUAAUAACAUUUCUGCACAUCUGCUUCAGCUUAAUAUAACUUGUAUUCAACAAGACAUGCUCUGUCGCUAAAACAUCCUUGUCAAGACACUAAACUCAUGAUUCUUUACUUCUUAGUAAAUAAACAUACACUAAAAAAGUGAUUAAUUUGGAACUAAUUAGAAGAAUGCCCAUUCAUCAGCAUACCUCUGCGAGGGACAGAGCGAUAUCUUCCCUGAUAGCACUCUGAGUAGGAGAUGAAUAUCCAGCCUGCAAAACCAAAUUGACAAUUCCACAACCUAAGCCUUCCAAGCAUUCAACAGAAAAAAAAGUGAAAAUCAUUGUUUCAGAAUUUGGUUUCAGGAAAUGGACUUACACACGAUCCGAAAGCAUAAGAACCGCAAACUGCAAUGGGUGUGCUGAAGUAAACCAUGCACGGAUUUACUUUCUUGUUGUUUGUUCGGUCACCAGCUCCACCAUCUUCAUGAGCUAAGAUGUUCUCAAUCGGCAUAAGUGGUUCCCUUAUAUUUUCUUGAACAUCCUCUUUGACGUCCAUGAUGAUGCUGAUACCUUCCAAAAAGUUGCCUUAGUUUAUCUAAUAGAAGAAAUUGAAAGAAAUUGUUACAAGAUAAAGGAGAUACGCGAAGAUGGAAGCAGAAGCAAACUAUAUCAUCUAUCAAUUAGCCACAAGAGGCUGGAAUUUCUUGAGUCUUCCCUCAAUACUCCUUCGUGAGUUUUAUGAAAGUACUAACACUGAGGACAAGUAGGCAAUUUGUUUUUUCACACAACUGGAUAAUGAAUCUGAAUCAACGACCAUAUGUACACGUUCUACUCGAAGUAAUAUGUACGCUACUAAACUCAACUGGUGUUAUUUUGUCGUUUGCAUGAAAACUGAAACCUGAAAAGAUGACUUAAAGAUACAUGAACAGGCAGAAACCGCAAGCCAACAUGACUUAAAGAGAAUUUCUUCGAAGUAAAUUUUCCCACGGUUUGUUUGUGUAGGAGAAAAUCUAGGUCCCUCGUUAUCUCGUGUUUAGAAUUGUCAACUGUCGUGCGAACCUCUAAAGAUUCAAGAAAAUCAAAGACAAUUUCAGAUUUUUCUUCACCUGGGAUGUGGCUAAUUUCUUUCGGCACCCAUACCUUCUGUAUCAUUUAAAAUGUCUUAAUAAGCUUAAUUAGCCCCCAUGAAAUGCUUCACAGCUGAAGGCACAGCGAGUGUGCCUUUUAUUUUACUACAUCGACUUUCACAUGGAGAUUAUAAGCCGUAGUUAAAUUGUAAGAUAAGAAUGAAAUUAUGGAUACGUCAAAGUGCCAAGUUGAAUUAAUAAAAAAAUAGGAAAACGACGGUUGUGUGUGUCUAUCCUACAUUAUAAGGAAACAGUUAAGUUUCCAACAAGAGACAUGAUAGCCUUUUAUUUUAUUAUCCUAAAAAAAUUGGCUCAAAUAUUUUAUAAUAAAUAUUAAUAUAAUAUAAAUAUUUUAAAUAAUUUUAAUAAUUAAAAAAUACUAUAAUAUCUGCUGUACCGUACAUCCGCCUCCCACUUGUGAUUGCCCCGAUCAUGGCACCAAAGGUUAAUAUGGAGCCAAACACAGAAUACUGCAUGAGUGUAAACCAAAACCAAAAUGAAAAAAUUUCAUAUUUACCAACUGAAUGGAAUUAGUCUCUGCAGGAAUCAUAAUAACAUUUCUGCACAUCUGCUUCAGCUUAAUAUAACUUGUAUUCAACAAGACAUGCUCUGUCGCUAAAACAUCCUUGUCAAGACACUAAACUCAUGAUUCUUUACUUCUUAGUAAAUAAACGUACACUAAAAAAGUGAUUAAUUUGGAACUAAUUAGAAGAAUGCCCAUUCAUCAGCAUACCUCUGCGAGGGACAGAGCGAUAUCUUCCCUGAUAGCACUCUGAGUAGGAGAUGAAUAUCCAGCCUGCAAAACCAAAUUGACAAUUCCACAACCUAAGCCUUCCAAGCAUUCAACAGAAAAAAAAGUGAAAAUCAUUGUUUCAGAAUUUGGUUUCAGGAAAUGGACUUACACACGAUCCGAAAGCAUAAGAACCGCAAACUGCAAUGGGUGUGCUGAAGUAAACCAUGCACGGAUUUACUUUCUUGUUGUUUGUUCGGUCACCAGCUCCACCAUCUUCAUGAGCUAAGAUGUUCUCAAUCGGCAUAAGUGGUUCCCUUAUAUUUUCUUGAACAUCCUCUUUGACGUCCAUGAUGAUGCUGAUACCUUCCAAAAAGUUGCCUUAGUUUAUCUAAUAGAAGAAAUUGAAAGAAAUUGUUACAAGAUAAAGGAGAUACGCGAAGAUGGAAGCAGAAGCAAACUAUAUCAUCUAUCAAUUAGCCACAAGAGGCUGGAAUUUCUUGAGUCUUCCCUCAAUACUCCUUCGUGAGUUUUAUGAAAGUACUAACACUGAGGACAAGUAGGCAAUUUGUUUUUUCACACAACUGGAUAAUGAAUCUGAAUCAACGACCAUAUGUACACGUUCUACUCGAAGUAAUAUGUACGCUACUAAACUCAACUGGUGUUAUUUUGUCGUUUGCAUGAAAACUGAAACCUGAAAAGAUGACUUAAAGAUACAUGAACAGGCAGAAACCGCAAGCCAACAUGACUUAAAGAGAAUUUCUUCGAAGUAAAUUUUCCCACGGUUUGUUUGUGUAGGAGAAAAUCUAGGUCCCUCGUUAUCUCGUGUUUAGAAUUGUCAACUGUCGUGCGAACCUCUAAAGAUUCAAGAAAAUCAAAGACAAUUUCAGAUUUUUCUUCACCUGGGAUGUGGCUAAUUUCUUUCGGCACCCAUACCUUCUGUAUCAUUUAAAAUGUCUUAAUAAGCUUAAUUAGCCCCCAUGAAAUGCUUCACAGCUGAAGGCACAGCGAGUGUGCCUUUUAUUUUACUACAUCGACUUUCACAUGGAGAUUAUAAGCCGUAGUUAAAUUGUAAGAUAAGAAUGAAAUUAUGGAUACGUCAAAGUGCCAAGUUGAAUUAAUAAAAAAAUAGGAAAACGACGGUUGUGUGUGUCUAUCCUACAUUAUAAGGAAACAGUUAAGUUUCCAACAAGAGACAUGAUAGCCUUUUAUUUUAUUAUCCUAAAAAAAUUGGCUCAAAUAUUUUAUAAUAAAUAUUAAUAUAAUAUAAAUAUUUUAAAUAAUUUUAAUAAUUAAAAAAUACUAUAAUAUUUUACAAUCUAUUAGAUAUAUUUUAUCUGCUGUNNNNNNNNNNNNNNNNNNNNNNNNNNNNNNCCUGCUGUACCGUACAUCCGCCUUGGCCGUACAGCAGUAUAUAAAAAUUCAAAAUAUUUGGGAUACUAUGUAAAAUAAUUUUAAUAUUAUUAAUGCGUGCAAUAUAUUUUAUUAAAUGUAAAGUAUAUUUAACUCAGAGAUUUAUUUAAAAUCUUUGUAAUAGAUUCAUGAAAGUAUUAAAAUAAUAUAGUGAUAUAAAUUAUUUUUAAAUAUUUUACUUUUAUUAAUUUAUUAAAUAGAUUAAAUUAUUUGCUGCUGUCUUUUGACAAGCAAUUCUUGACAGGAAAAUGAGUUGGUUGUUUGUCUUUUAUCCCCAAAGAUGUGAGACUGAUUCAAGUUAUUUACGCAUCCUGUCCAUUAUCCAACAACAAUUCUGGUGACGACAGUGAUCUGAUCUACUACCCAUUUUACUUAGUAAUAAAUUAGGUACAGCCAGCCACCGAUUUAGAAUGGAGAGUUGGCAACCGCAUUGGUUCACUCCUGAAAAAAUAUUAAAAAAACAAAUGGAGAGUUGCAAUUUGCCAUGUGUUUCGAUGAUGAAUUCAAAAGUGGUUGUUUUGGGAUAUAUUUGAAUAAAGGAAUGCAGGCCUUGGAGAAAUAAUAAUAAUAAUAAUGAACAACAUAUAUGAGAUCUUUCAAAUUGAUGCCGUAAGAACUUGAUAGAUCAAGAGGGUACUUAUAAAAAUGAUCGACACUAAAUUUUCACGGUUGCAUUAAAUUUGCAGUUCGCCAACAAAUAUUUCCACCCAUUUGCAAGUAAAAACGAAAUUCAACAUCAUGCCUUGCCAAUCUCAGAGUGAACAAGCAUGGUUGUAGCUCAAAUUGACCUUCAGGCUCAAGAGAACUUGCAGAUCCCUUUCCCACAAUUUUUCAGAAUUGAUUUAACAUGAAACAUCACCUCAGAACAAGAACAUAUAGUAAGACUCGAAUGUUAACAUCUCAGAACAAGAACAUAUAACAAGACUCGAAUAUAACUUCCCAUAUUUACUGCCACAGCACAAAAUUCAGAAUUAGUUUCUUCGGUAAAUCCCGAUUAAAGAACUGGCCGAAUCCAUCAGUUUGAACUAUAAAAAUGCAGCGAUAAGGCUAUAGAAAAAGCAACAAGAAGAUCAAUGAAGCUACAAACACCAGUAGUCUCAGAUAGUUGACCAUAACAUUCAAUGUACAGAGACAAAUCCCACCUUGUACCGAGAUGGUGUGCUGUUUCUUCCAGCACAAGUUUCACCCGUAUGAAACUGCCACAUUUUCCUUAAUCUUCUAACAGCUCUUAACCGACUAUGCUUUUAUGCAGACACUUAGGUCCAAAACAAGCAGAUUAAGCCUGGAGCAUUUACUCUAUCAAUCGAAAGAGACAGGUAAUGAAGACUUCUCAAAUGCAUUUACUUCACACAGGUAUCCUCGGUUGGCCUCUCCACAUUGACAUCUAUAGAUGCAGUGUCGGAUCCUCAAGAAGCAACAAUGUUAAAUGCAUAUCACUCACAAUAUCCCGUAAUAACACAAUCUUAUGAGCAAAAUUUGCAAAAACACCAAAACCACACAGGACCUUAGUAAAUGAAAACACCUGCUAUUCAUAUACAAGUAGAAUUUUAGCUUUGUUAUCACGAUGCACCCUACUUGAAAAGAAUCAACUUUGAAUUAUGCAUCUAUGUACUCUUUACAAGGUGGAACAUGAUUCAAAUUUCAAGAACCACGAAAGCUAUAUAAAAAAUAUAUCAAGGCCAACAAAACCAUCGGUGCAGACACCGGUAAUUACAACAAUUCUACUGGUUUGGAACCAGAGUUUCUCACUUCUUCCUUAUGACUGGAAUCAGAGAUUCUCACUUCUUCCUUAUGACUAGAAGGGCGCUCAAUUUCAGUAAAAGCCUGAUAGCCGGUAUAACUUGAGAACUGACCUGAGCCACUAUUACUGCUCAUAGACUUCUCAAUCUCGUCCAUCUCAGCUACAAAAGAAAUUGGUCGUUCUGGGAUUGUGGGAACAGACUGCUCAGUUUCCAACAUUUUCACGACCUGAUCCAUCGUUGGCCUGGCAUAUAACUGUGGAUGGGAACAAAGAACGGCAAUCGUUACAUACUUCUCUAGAACUUCGGGUACACCCAUCUCUGGCAUACCAUCUUCAAUAACAUCCAGAGCUCUCCCCUCCUUCACCAAUGACCAAGCCCAGUCCGUCACAAGAGAAGCUUGGCCAUCAUCAUUCAUAAUGAGUGCCUUCCUGCCACUCAAAAGCUCCAGAAGCACAACACCAAAGCUGUACACAUCACUCCUGUCAGUCAAUUGCCCAUACAAAGCAUACUCAGGAGCAAGAUAUCCCAUUGUCCCAGCCACCCUAGUACUCAAAUGAGUGAACCCCUCCGGUGUAAACUUUGCAAGCCCAAAAUCCCCCACCUUUGCCUCAAACUUCUCAUCCAAUAAUAUAUUACUAGCUUUAAUAUCCCUGUGAAAAAUUGCCGGCUGUGCACCAAAAUGCAAAUAGGCCAAUCCCCUUGCCGUCCCAAGAGCAAUCGACUGCCUAAGAGGCCAACUAAGCUUCGGCCCAUUGGAAGCAAACAAAUGAUCAUAAACGCUUCCAUUCUUCAUCAAAUCACAGACAAUAAUCCUCUGGUGACCCUCUAACUGAGUAGUGGCAAUACAAUAACCUCUCAAAGCAACAAGAUUGACAUGCCUAACGCUAGCAAUAACCUCCACCUCAUGCUUGAAAUUUGCAUCACCCGCCGCGGAACAAUUCUUGAACCUCUUCAAAGCAACCUCAGAGCCAUCGGGCAAAAGCCCUUUGUAGACAUUACCAUAACCUCCUCUCCCAAUGAUAUUAUCCCUUGAGAAAUUCCGAGUAGCUUUCUUAAUGUCAUCAAAUGUGAACCUGACCAAAUUAGUACUCUCAUGAAUAGACUCCAAUCCCAUUUCAAUUCUAUUAACCUCUUCUCGUUCCCUCUUCUUUCUUCUGUUAGAAACCACACGCUUACGCCAAAAGAUCCAAACCCCACCAGAAAUUAGCAACAACCCAACAACACAAACAACCAAGACCCCGGCAAUUAAGCCCUUGUUCUUCUUCUUACUCUUCUUUGAUGAUUCAGCAAACUCAAAUGAGAACAAACAGUUAGCAGUGCCCGUAUCGGUGGGACCAAACUGAUUGGCGGCCGCGGCGGCGUAAAUGGAAGGAUAGGCCAGACAAUCAGACAAGUUCCCAACGGAAGGCCCGGUCAAAUAGGCCUGCAAGCGGGCCAAGCUGGUAGUACAAGCAGCACAAGGGGCACUAUUCCCCAAGGACUGGUUACAGUUGGAAACGACGUCGUCGAGAGUGGACUGGGGAAUCAACCUCUCGAACUGGGAUAUCGUGGAGAUGUUCAUACAGCCUUCAGAGAUCCAAUCGGUUUGGAAGCCGCAGCGGGAGCGUACGUCGAAGUUCGGAGCGACUCUGUCGACAAGGGUUUGGUAAACGCGCCAGCAUGACUCGGAGGCGUUGAGGGGCGGCAGGAAGUUUCCGGUGCGUUUGAGGUAUUGUGAAUCCACGAGACGAAGGCCCUUUUUAACGUUCUGACACUGCGAGGGCAGGUCACUCGGAGUCUUGAACUGGGACAUCAGCUGCUGUAAGAAGUUGAAGUCAAGCGGGCACGAAACGGUGGCGUUUCGUUGUGCCGCGGCCGUUGUUGUGGAGGCCGCCAGGAAAAGAAUGAGAACAAGGCCUCGUAAGAAUGACAUCGGCAUCGACAUCUCGGGGACGGGGAGAGAUACCGGGGGGUGUUGGUAGCAGUACAGAGACAACAAAGACAACAAUAAGGAAAAGCAUGUGCACGUGCUUGUGCUUGGGGAUUGUGGUGCAAUUUGAGUAAACUAGUGUAAUUUGAGUUGGGAGUUUGACUAAUCACUAGUAAAUUCCCUAUGGCAUGCAACGGGUGAUGGCGGCAGGCAAGGCAAACACAGCCAGCCAGUUAUGACAGUUGAUUAGCUUAACCUACUGCAAAUUUGAAGCUUCAGAGAAGGUGAGAUAGUUCAAUUCAUUUGAUUUCGUUCAAUAAAAAUAUAAUAAAUAAAAGUUAUUGCUUCCUUACUUACCUAGUUUGUUAAUUUUCAACGCCUUAUUUUUGUCUGUCAAUAGAAACUUCAAGUCCAUUCAUCAAAUUGUCAAUUAUAUUAUUAGUCAAUUUAUUACGUGUUUGAUUCGAAUUUGUGUGUGAAAGUUCAAGAAAGGGGUGCAAUAACAUGUUUUAACUGUAGGGGAGGAUUAGUUAUUUUUUAUCUUACAGGCGGAAUAGGGUGUUAUUAUAAUGGGCUGCUCUGGAUCUGAAAGGAGACUCUUCUUAAAAAAAAAAUGAAAGAGACAAAAGAAAAUUGCAAAGACAUGUCAUCAAUUUCUAAGUCUUAACAAGGAGGUCUCCUUCUCCUUCUCGUAUGGCCUUUUAUUUUAUUUUAUUUUUUUUUUGAGUUAGAUAGGAAGUCUCUGUCUUGUCUUAAACUUGAUGUUCUGUAAGAUGUUCCAUUGGUCCGAAUUAUUGCACUAUCUUUUCAUCAGGUACUGUAUUUUAUAUAAAUAUAUUCUCAUGUCACAUAAAAUUCGAUGCAAAGUUUAUUGGGAUUUAAUGACAUCAAUAAAUCAUCAAUAAAUCCUCCUUUGUUUAUCUAUUCUUUUAGACUUUCUUGUACAACCUUAUUUCUCUUUUCCUUAUGGGGAAUGCUAUUCGAACGUCUAUCCAUUUUACCAUUUAAAGUGAAAAGCGCUUGUACAAAAGACAAUAAUACUAGGGAGAUCUUAGUAGUAGUAUUUGAGUUUUAAUCCAAAUUUUAUUAUCAUGUAUCAUUUAUUUAUUAGAUAAUAAAUUUCAUAACUUAUACAUUAUUUGACCACCAUCUGAUAAAUCAAUACUCCUAUAAAAAUAGUUAUGGAUGGAACAAUAACAUUCACAUCACUCAUUUUUCAUGUGUUAUCAUAAAAGCAUGUUGUUUGUUCAUUUUGUAAAAAUACCCUUAACCCAUGUUUGGUUGGAAGAAAUGGUAGGAGCGGAAAGGAAAGAAUGGGAGAGAAAAUGAGUGAAAAUGAGUGAAAAAGAAUGUCAAUUUCAUUUUUAUUGUUUGGAUGGUCAAAAAUUAUUACUAGAAAAUAGACCGCGAAGAAUUGAAGAAUUACAGAUGAAUGUACAAAAAGAACUUAAUUGUGUGAAUCGAAAAAUAAACAUUGCUAUUACACGAAUUACAAAUCCUUAUGGACACCCCAAUAUUCUUGCCGAAUUUAUAGCCGGCUGCUGUACGGCCAAGGCGGAUGUACGGUACAGCAGUUAAAAAAUACUAUAAUAUUUUACAAUCUAUUAGAUAAAUUUUAUUAUAUUAAAAAAAGUUUUAGAAUAAAUGAAAACAUAAUAUUAAAAUAAGUAUAAAAAAUUCAAAAUAUUUGGGAUACUAUGUAAAAUAAUUUUAAUAUUAUUAAUGCGUGCAAUAUAUUUUAUUAAAUGUAAAGUAUAUUUAACUCAGAGAUUUAUUUAAAAUCUUUGUAAUAGAUUCAUGAAAGUAUUAAAAUAAUAUAGUGAUAUAAAUUAUUUUUAAAUAUUUUACUUUUAUUAAUUUAUUAAAUAGAUUAAAUUAUUUGUGUUUAUGUAUAUUUACUCAAAUAUUUAAAGUUAAUUAUUUUAAUCAUUAUAUUUAAAAGGUAUUAUUUAACUUUAUUUAUAAAAAAAUUUAGAGAUAUGUAUGACCAUUUUCAUAAAUUUUACGGGUAAUGAUUCCUUUUUCGUAAAUAAAUAAAUUAAUUAAAAAUGGAGAAAGGUUUGGCAGAGUUGUGUUUGGCUUGAGAUUCCUUUUGACAAGCAAUUCUUGACGGGAAAAUGAGUUGGUUGUUUGUCUUUUAUCCCCAAAGAUGUGAGACUGAUUCAAGUUAUUUACGCAUCCUGUCCAUUAUCCAACAACAAUUCUGGUGACGACAGUGAUCUGAUCUACUACCCAUUUUAAUUAGUAAUAAAUUAGGUACAGCUAGCCACCGAUUUAGAAAGGAGAGUUGGCAACAGCAUUGGUUCACUCCUGAAAAAAUAUUAAAAAAAUAAAUCGAGAGUUGCAAUUUGCCAUUUGUUUCGAUGAUUAUUCAAAAGUGGUUGUUUUGGGAUACAUUUGAAUAAAGGAAUGCAGGCCUUGGAGAAAUAAUAAUAAUAAUAAUGAACAACAUAUAUGAGAUCCUCGGUUGGCCUCUCCACAUCGACAUCUAUAGAUGCAGUCUCGGAUCCUCAAGAAGCAACAAUGUUAAAUGCAUAUCACUCACAAUAUCCCGUAAUAACACAAUCUUAUGAGCAAAAUUUGCAAAAACACCAAAACCACACAGGACCUUAGUAAAUGAAAACACCUGCUAUUCAUAUACAAGUAGAAUUUUAGCUUUGUUAUCACGAUGCACCCUACUUGAAAAGAAUCAACUUUGAAUUAUGCAUCUAUGUACUCUUUACAAGGUGGAACAUGAUUCAAAUUUCAAGAACCACGAAAGCUAUAUAAAAAAUAUAUCAAGGCCAACAAAACCAUCGGUGCAGACACCGGUAAUUACAACAAUUCUACUGGUUUGGAACCAGAGUUUCUCACUUCUUCCUUAUGACUGGAAUCAGAGAUUCUCACUUCUUCCUUAUGACUAGAAGGGCGCUCAAUUUCAGUAAAAGCCUGAUAGCCGGUAUAACUUGAGAACUGACCUGAGCCACUAUUACUGCUCAUAGACUUCUCAAUCUCAUCUAUCUCAGCUACAAGAGAAAUUGGUCGUUCUGGGAUUGUGGGAACAGACUGCUCAGUUUCCAACAUUUUCACGACCUGAUCCAUCGUUGGCCUGGCAUAUAACUGUGGAUGGGAACAAAGAACGGCAAUCGUUACAUACUUCUCUAGAACUUCGGGUACACCCAUCUCUGGCAUACCAUCUUCAAUAACAUCCAGAGCUCUCCCCUCCUUCACCAAUGACCAAGCCCAGUCCGUCACAAGAGAAGCUUGGCCAUCAUCAUUCAUAAUGAGUGCCUUCCUGCCACUCAAAAGCUCCAGAAGCACAACACCAAAGCUGUACACAUCACUCCUGUCAGUCAAUUGCCCAUACAAAGCAUACUCAGGAGCAAGAUAUCCCAUUGUCCCAGCCACCCUAGUACUCAAAUGAGUGAGCCCCUCCGGCGUAAACUUUGCAAGCCCAAAAUCCCCCACCUUCGCCUCAAACUUCUCAUCCAAUAAUAUAUUACUAGCUUUAAUAUCCCUGUGAAAAAUUGCCGGCUGUGCACCAAAAUGCAAAUAGGCCAAUCCCCUUGCCGUCCCAAGAGCAAUCGACUGCCUAAGAUGCCAACUAAGCUUCGGCCCAUUGGAAGCAAACAAAUGAUCAUAAACGCUUCCAUUCUUCAUCAAAUCACAGACAAUAAUUCUCUGGUGACCCUCUAACUGAGUAGUGGCAAUACAAUAACCUCUCAAAGCAACAAGAUUGACAUGCCUAACGCUAGCAAUAACCUCCACCUCAUGCUUGAAAGUUGCAUCACCCGCCGCGGAACAAUUCUUGAACCUCUUCAAAGCAACCUCAGAGCCAUCGGGCAAAAGCCCUUUGUAGACAUUACCAUAACCUCCUCUCCCAAUGAUAUUAUCCCUUGAGAAAUUCCGAGUAGCUUUCUUAAUGUCAUCAAAUGUGAACCUGACCAAAUUAGUACUCUCAUGAAUAGACUCCAAUCCCAUUUCAAUUCUAUUAACCUCUUCUCGUUCCCUCUUCUUUCUUCUGUUAGAAACCACACGCUUACGCCAAAAGAUCCAAACCCCACCAGAAAUUAGCAACAACCCAACAACACAAACAACCAAAACCCCGGCAAUUAAGCCCUUGUUCUUCUUCUUACUCUUCUUUGAUGAUUCAGUUACCUCAAAUGAGAACAAACACUUAGCAGUGCCCCUAUCGGUGGGACCAAACUGAUUGACGGCCGCGGCGGCGUAAAUGAAGGGAUAGGCCAGACAAUCAGACAAGUUCCCAACGGAAGGCCCGGUCAAAUAGGCCUGCAAGCGGGCCAAGCUGGUAGUACAAGCAGCACAAGGGGCACUAUUCCCCAAGGACUGGUUACAGUUGGAAACGACGUCGUCGAGAGUGGACUGGGGGAUCAAUCUCUCGAACUGGGAUCUCGUGGAGAUGUUCAUACAGCCUUCAGAGAUCCAAUCGGUUUGGAAGCCGCAGCGGGAGCGUACGUCGAAGUUCGGGGCGACUCUGUCGACAAGGGUUUGGUAAACGCGCCAGCAUGACUCGGAGGCGUUGAGGGGCGGCAGGAAGUUUCCGGAGCGUUUGAGGUAUUGUGAAUCCACGAGACGAAGGCCCUUUUUAACUUCCUGACACUGCGAGGGCAGGUCACUCGGAGUCUUGAACUGGGACAUCAGCUGCUGUAAGAAGUUGAAGUCAAGCGGGCACGAAACGGUGGCGUUUCGUUGUGCCGCGGCCGUUGUUGUGGAGGCCGCCAGGAAAAGAAUGAGAACAAGGCCUCGUAAGAAUGACAUCGGCAUCGACAUCGACAUCUCGGGGACGGGGAGAGAUACCGGGCGGUGUUGGUAGCAGUACAAAGACAACAAUAAGGAAAAGCAUGUGCACGUGCUUGUGCU
rnacentral:lncRNA from 1 species